ACAGUGAGAGGGAGGUUUUCCAGGCUUCCUGUGCUGUCUUGGGGACCUGCUCAGAGGCUGGACCGCGUCAUGCUCAGAAGGCUGCCUGGAAUUUGAAUGUGGUAUCUGGAGCUUCAGUAGUCAUCCAGGACUGUAAGUGUGAAAGCCAUGCACUGAGAGUGGUGGAACAGAAGCCCUGUUUUCUUUAGACGCUGACUCCUGCUGUCUACCAGAUCCUCGUGGUACAAUGACUGGUGUAGACUGGCUUGUUGAAGUCACUCUCUGGAUCUGAGCAACGCUGGCUGAGCCGUGAUGAAGUAUUCCUAUCCAUCCACUAUGCUUCACAGUGGGAAUCUCUCACUGUUCAUCACCGCUGCCCUAGCAGCCGCAGCUAACAUCUUCUAGUCAAACAACUCUCCUUUUCAAAGGGACCAGGCACAGUUUCUGCUUAUCCCUGAGUAGCAGUGUUCAGUUUCCUGCCAGCCUGUGGAGUUUUUCAAACAAGCCAAUCACCUCCUCCUGUGGGAACUGAGAAGCACCCCACCCUCUCGAUACUACAAAGCCCCUGCUUGUUCCCUAGUGCAACUCCCAUGUGGUCCUGUGGAGCAUAUGGUAUCUUCCUCUUCUGGGCAGUGAGCAUAUGUGACUAAUAAACUAUCUAUCUCAUC
rnacentral:lncRNA from 1 species